ensembl:processed_transcript
CUCUUCUUUCUCUUCUCAUAAUUUAACUGGAUUAUCCGUUGAAUUUGUUUCUUCCUCUGACUGCUUUCUCCAUACCAACAACUACGACUGGUCUUCAGCUGCGCUCCCCGGUCUGCUGUAUUCUCCAGUCCAGAGUUUCACUGCCCAGUGUUUGAAUUUUAAUUUAUAUAUUUAUUUAUAUAUUUAUUUACAUUUUAAUGAUUUCUUGUUUACUUUUCUUGUUUGUUUACCCUUUAGUUUAAUUAUAUAUAUAUAUAUAUAAUCUAAACUUUAUUUUAUACUGUUUGCUUAUAAUUAGAUACUGUAUGUGUACUGUAUGUAUUAAAUGUUGUGAAAUAUAUAAUAAAAAGUUUGAUUAUA